UACGGAGGGUGCAAGCGUUGUUCGGAAUUACUGGGCGUAAAGGGCUCGUAGGCGGCCAACUAAGUCAGACGUGAAAUCCCCAGGCUCAACCUGGGAACUGCGUCUGAUACUGGAUGGCUUGAAUCCGGGAGAGGGAUGCAGAAUUCCAGGUGUAGCGGUGAAAUGCGUAGAUAUCUGGAGGAAUACCGGUGGCGAAGGCGGCAUCCUGGACCGGCAUUGACGCUGAGGAGCGAAAGCCAGGGGAGCAAACGGG
rnacentral:rRNA from 1 species